UUCCUGGUGGCUCAGACAGUAAAGAAUUUGCCUGCAAUGCAAGAGACCCAGGUUCAAUCCCAGGUUGGGAAG
rnacentral:tRNA from 1 species